GAUGAAGAACGUAGCGAAAUGCGAUAAGUAAUGUGAAUUGCAGAAUUCAGUGAAUCAUCGAAUCUUUGAACGCACAUUGCGCCCGCCAGCACUCUGGCGGGCAUGCCUGUUCGAGCGUCAUUUCGACCAUCAGGCCCUCCGGGCUUGUGUUGGGGCUCCCUGCGGCUGUCCGCAGGCCCUGAAAACCAGUGGCGGGCUUGCAAAGUCACACCGAGCGCAGUAGAUUUUUUUCAUCUCGCUCAGGGCGUGCGUGCGGGCGCCGGCCGUAAAAGACGAGAGCGCGGCCUCGGCCGCCCACAAAUACCACAAGGUUGACCUCGGAUCAGGUAGGAAGACCCGCUGAACUUAAGCAUAUCAAUAAGCGGAGGA
rnacentral:misc_RNA from 1 species